CAACUUCUCAAGAGUUGACCUCGGAUCA
rnacentral:rRNA from 1 species